AACGAACGCUGGCGGCAUGCUUAACACAUGCAAGUCGAACGCGUGGCUUCGGCCACGAGUGGCGCACGGGUGAGUAGCGCGUGGGAACCUGCCCUGAAGUGGGGGAUAACCGAGGGAAACUUCGGCUAAUACCGCAUACGCCGGUUGUCUUGAGAGAGAUGGCCGGGAAAGAUUUAUCGCUUUAGGAGGGGCCCGCGUCGGAUUAGCUAGUUGGUGGGGUAACGGCCUACCAAGGCAAUGAUCCGUAGCUGGUCUGAGAGGAUGAUCAGCCACACUGGGGCUGAGACACGGCCCAGACUCCUACGGGAGGCAGCAGUGGGGAAUAUUGGACAAUGGGCGCAAGCCUGAUCCAGCAAUGCCGCGUGCAGGAACGACGGCCCUACGGGUGUAAACUGCUUUAUACCGGAAUAAACCUAUCUACGUGUAGAUAGCUG
rnacentral:rRNA from 1 species